CCUACGGGAGGCAGCAGUGGGGAAUAUUGCGCAAUGGGGGAAACCCUGACGCAGCAACGCCGCGUGAGGGAUGAAGGUUUUAGGAUUGUAAACUCCUGUUGUGAGGGAAGAUCAUGAAGUUAUCUCAUGAAUAAGCACCGGCUAACUCCGUGACAGCAGCCGCGGUAAUACGGAGGGUGCAAGCGUUACUCGGAAUCACUGGGCGUAAAGAGUGCGCAGGCGGGCUUGUAAGUCAGAUGUGAAAUCCUGUAGCUUAACGACAGAGCUGCAUUUGAAACUCGGAGUCUAGAGUGUGGGAGAGGUAGGUGGAAUUCUAGGUGUAGGGGUAAAAUCCGUAGAUAUCAAGAGGAAUA
rnacentral:rRNA from 1 species